rnacentral:tRNA from 1 species
GAAGGUAUAGCUCAGUGGUAGAGCAUGUGCUUAGCAGGCAGGAGGUCCUGGGUUCAAUCCCCAGUACCUCCA